GAUGAACGCUGACAGAAUGCUUAACACAUGCAAGUCUACUUGAAUUUGGGUUUUUUAACUUAGAUUUGGGUGGCGGACGGGUGAGUAACGCGUAAAGAACUUGCCUCACAGCUAGGGACAACAUUUGGAAACGAAUGCUAAUACCUGAUAUUAUGAUUAUAAGGCAUCUUAGAAUUAUGAAAGCUAUAUGCGCUGUGAGAGAGCUUUGCGUCCCAUUAGCUAGUUGGAGAGGUAACGGCUCACCAAGGCGAUGAUGGGUAGCCGGCCUGGGAGGGUGAACGGCCACAAGGGGACUGGGACACGGCCCUUACUCCUACGGGAGGCAGCAGUGGGGAAUAUUGGACGAUGGACCAAGAGUCUGAUCCAGCAAUUCUGUGUGCACGAUGACGUUUUUCGGAAUGUAAAGUGCUUUCAGUUGGGAAGAAAAAAAUGACGGUACCAACAGAAGAAGUGACGGCUAAAUACGUG
rnacentral:rRNA from 1 species